rnacentral:tRNA from 1 species
GGGGAUAUAGCUCAGUGGUAGAGUGCUUGCCUAGUAAAUGUGGAGUCCUAGGUUCGAUUCCCAGUAUGCCUC